CUGCGGCAUCCUACACAUGCAAGUCGAACGAGACCUUCGGGUCUAGUGGCGCACGGGUGCGUAACGCGUGGGAACCUGCCUUUAGGUUCGGAAUAACUCUCCGAAAGGGGUGCUAAUACCAAAUAAUGUCUUCGGACCAAAGAUUUAUCGCCUUUAGAUGGGCCCGCGUUGGAUUAGCUAGUUGGUGGGGUAAAGGCCUACCAAGGCGACGAUCCAUAGCUGGUCUGAGAGGAUGAUCAGCCACACUGGGACUGAGACACGGCCCAGACUCCUACGGGAGGCAGCAGUGGGGAAUAUUGGACAAUGGGCGAAAGCCUGAUCCAGCAAUGCCGCGUGAGUGAUGAAGGCCUUAGGGUUGUAAAGCUCUUUUACCAGGGAUGAUAAUGACAGUACCUGGAGAAUAAGCUCCGGCUAACUCCGUGCCAGCAGCCGCGGUAAU
rnacentral:rRNA from 1 species